AAUUUUUGGAGCCCGUAUGGCUUAGGUUACAGGGAUAAAUAUGGAUCACGGGAAAGCCUGUUUAGGCUACUCCAUUUAAACGAGGAAAUGUUUGUUUUUCUUUUUAUUUCUCUUUUUUUUUUCUUUUUCUUUUUCUUUCCUUCCUUCGUUUCCUCACGCGCGCCCGAGCCGUCCCAACGCCGAACCCGUGCCCGUGCCCUAAGCCAUCGACGUCGUCCGCUCCUUUUCCUACCGGCGCCACACAUGACAGUUUCCUUCUUCCUCGCGAUUAAAGCCGUGGCCGAGGAUUUUUCAUCUCCUCUCUUCUUCUCCACUUUGUCUUCCCCUAACCCGACGCACGCGAUGCCUCAUUUCCUCCUCUCAUCUUCUCUGUAAGCCACUCCACCCGAUUCCUCUUCGGCCGGAGUAGUGCUUCUCGGUCGGUGAUGCCCUUGUGAGCCUGAAACAGUGGUUUCGCCUCCCUUCUCCCACACCAAAAACCUCCUUCCUCCCUCACUCUCUCGUGAUGCCACCCGUUCCUUUCUCCUAACCUCUUCCUCGCGUCGCCCACAGCCGACGCUGUCGCACGGAGCAGCGCCGCACUGUGCCCUAGUUUCCACUACCGCAGUCACCUAGCUUCAUCCCCACUACCGACAGUGACAUCGUGCCCUAGAUCUGCCUCUGCGCGCCACUGCCGACCAUCGGAUCGGGCUACUCCAGCCUCUCUGAACCCUAGCCGGCGAUCUAGCAACGACGACCUUCUUCUUCCUUGAUCUAAUCAGUGCGGAGGUUUCCAACAAGAAUAGUGGUGUUUUCACAAGGAUUUCCUGGCAGCAACGAUCCUUGGCUAAGGAUCAACAGAAGGGGGCUGUGAGGAAAAGGUAAGGUCAGUAGGUUAUGUCUGGAAUUAGGAUGUUUUGUGGAUCAGUGAUCUUCCUUCUUGAUUUGUUUACUGCAAGUGGAAACCACCAGCAGCUACCCUUCACCAGCAGCAAUCAACGGCUGUAAAGACGGCUGUGAAUUUAGGACUUUGACGCGAGACGAGCAUCUCGACGUCGGAUUUGGACCUUUCUAUUGGAGGUUGAGGCUGUCCGGAGGAUUUCCAGUCGCUAGUCCCCCUGUAGAUCGCAAGGAUGCUUGUUUGGUCUUUUGGUUUUUCUUAUUAUACUAUUUAGACUAUGUUUUAGACUUGUAUCUUUUUGACACUUGGAUCUUGUAUGGUCCUUUAUUUGUCGAUGGGGUAUUAUUUGGAGAUGUUCUGCUACAUGCCUGCCUGGUCGGCAGAAGAGGUUAGUUGAUUUUA